CACGUAGGGUGCGAGCGUUGUCCGGAAUUAUUGGGCGUAAAGAGCUCGUAGGCGGUGUGUCGCGUCGGCCGUGAAAACCUGCAGCUUAACUGUGGGCUUGCGGUCGAUACGGGCAUCACUGGAGUUCGGCAGGGGAGACUGGAAUUCCUGGUGUAGCGGUGAAAUGCGCAGAUAUCAGGAGGAACACCGGUGGCGAAGGCGGGUCUCUGGGCCUGUACUGACGCUGAGGAACGAAAGCUAGGGGAGCAAACAGG
rnacentral:rRNA from 1 species